rnacentral:tRNA from 1 species
GGGCAGGUGGCGAAAUUGGUAGACGCGCUAGGCUUAGGACCUAGUACCGCAAGGUGUUGGGAGUUCGAGUCUCCCCCUGCCCA